rnacentral:lncRNA from 1 species
ACCGUCCAAAGUGCCUGCUAAUACAAUAACAAUUUGCAUAAUUUUAUUUUUGUGUAAUUUUUGCUCGACAUUUCUUAAUUAUUUACAUUGUUGUCGUCUCGUACCUGGAUGAUUUUACGGCCUUCCAAAUCUUCGCAAUAAUCAGUGUAAAUCGAUUCGUUUUUAUCGCCGUCUAAUAGUGCAUGCUGUAAUUUUAGGAGAACGCGUAUUAUAAAGGUUUGUUAAUUCAGUGUCAUUAGUUUUCUAUAAACCCACCCAAUUUGUUUUAAAACAAUAACACAGUUCAUAUUUGUUUUGAAGUGAUUAUUAUAACUAUUGUAUCUAAGAUUCAUUAUCACUGACGUCGACAUUUUUAUAAAUCCUUUGUCAAUGACCUACUUAAUUUUAUACCAAUUAGGUUCCAUUGAUUUUUGUCGACUCGGUAUUCUUGUUUACUCUCGGGAAUCGGGAUCGUUUUAUAGAUAUUAUUAUACAUUUUAAUAUAUUAUACUAAAAUAUAUAAUUUAUUUUAAUAUAUCUGGAUCAUAUGUGUUGCGAGAGUAUGAUGCAUAAAGUACUCUAUGGUAUGGCGUCUUGUCAUAGUUGCUCGAUAAAUAACUCCAUAAACUAAACUCUUAGUUGCGAUAAACAUUCACAGGAUUGCCAGUUGAUAUUAGUGCCAUUUUAUUUACCCCUGUCAAUAUUCAAUAUGGCAUAUCGAAUAUAUUUUAAUCUCAUUACAAUAAGAUAUAAAAGAAAGAAUUUAGAUUUAGGUAUAUGUUGAUUUUCAAACAAUGUCUAUCAGUACCUAUACCUAUCUAGUAUAGAUAAAAAAAACAUUUGUACCCUUUAUUUUAGACAAGUUCUUGUAGGUAUUGAGAUUUUAUGAUUCAAUAAUUAGCUUUAAACUACCUUGAUCAUUUUAAAAUAAAACUUAAAAUUCACAGUUAAAUUGUAAAGUAAGUGUGUUAUUUUCUAAAACUUCUUUUUAUAUUAUUUUAAAUAGGUAUUAAUUAUAAUUAUGGCUGAUCAGAGUCAAAAUCAAGGAACUCCUAGAACCAGUACUCAAUAUUCAAACUGGUCCCAACCAAUGAAUUGGUCUUACGGAAGGUAAGUUUUUUUUACCUUAAAUUAAUGGAGUUUUUAUAAUUUAUAUAAUUAUCUUAAUACUAAGUACCUAUAGAACAAAUUUUAUUUUUACUAAACUUGCACUUAAUUUUUAUUUCUUGAAUUUAAUAUUACAUUAAUUAGAUUUUUGGUAAAAAAUGAUAAAAGUUAUUAUUUUGAUUACAAUUUUUUUAGAUUUGGAGUAUAACGAAGAAGUUAUUAGUUUUACAAAGAUAUUUUUUUCUUGGAAAACCUUUAUGGUUAGUUAGUUAAUAUAACUCUUUUUAUGCUGCACCUUUAAAAAUGAGAAAUUUUUUAGUCAGUGAUAUUUCAUUUGAAAUAUUUUCAAUUGUUCACCCUAUAAUACUUCUUUUGAUCUUUGAUAAUUUUUGGGCUACCUUGAUAACAUUGUAAAAAGCACGAUUAAUACUACUCUACAAAGAUUGGUUUUUUGUUUUCUAUGAUUUAUUGUUGCAUAUAGGGUAUAAACUAAAUUACCCUAUUCAUACUAACUUUUGAAUUAUUCACCUAUAACAAAAGCCUACCCUAGAGUAUAUCCUAGUUUUUGAAAGGUAAUCUUGUAAGUCAUUAGUAAUUAAUUAUUAUAUUAAUAUACCAGAUAACAGUAUAGUUAAAGACAAAGUUGUAAUUAACUAUAGACUAAAAAAAACAAGUCUUAGAUUAAAAUUUACCAAUACAAAAAAAAAAAUGUUUAAUUCAAAGGAUUGUGGCUCUAGGAAUAAUAUUAAUUGAAUUACUUAAUUUUAAUACUUAUGUAUGACCAAAACUUAAAACUAGAGUAUUUAAAUAAAUAAAAAAAUGUAUUUAAUAGAAAGAUGAUUAAUUAGUUUAAAUGUAUAAAUAGGUAAUAUUUAUAUUUUAUAUUUAAAUAAGUUUUAAUAUGAGGUGUGGUAUUUUAUUUAAAUAUCUGCUAAGAUUUUGGUUUGGUAUUUUAAUUGUUUUACUAUUAUUGUAAAUUGUACAAUUGAUGAAAAUUAUAUGCAUUUGUUGUCUCUCAGUUUUUCUAAUUGUCAAUAUGGUAAAAAUUUGUUUUUGUACUUCUUAUUGUACACAGACCUUAUUGGUUGUAUAAAAUUGAUUUUGGUGUUAAAAUAAAUAUUGGAAGUUGUGUCUAUAGAACACUUUAGAUUUUGAGUAAAGCAAGGAUGUUUUGGUUUUACUAUGAUGUUUAUUAUUUUUUAUACUGUGUAUAAACAUUCUACCAGAAAUCUUGCUCACUGUUUCUAAAAGGAAAUAUUCCUGGGGUGAUCCAUUAAAGAGGUCAGUUUUUGAUUUCCCAAGCAGUUUUCAAAAAAAUUGUGAAAAAAACAUAAUAAUAAACAUAAUAUACUUUUAUUUACAUUUUGUAAAAUUUCUUAUGUUACUUAUUACAAAAAUCAAGUCUAUAUGACUAACAAAGUGGACUGUGUACUAAUAGAUGUAUGUGUAUAAACAUAUUUUUACCAUGUUGUCCAGUAGUUGGAGAAGAUUAAUUCAUGUUUGGGGUUUUUUUCAAUGUAGAAUUGUAGUAUCUAUUUGAAUACCUAAUAUAUAUUAAUUUUCUUAAUUUUACAGUUAUGCUGCACCACAAAUGUAUAACAUGAGUGCGUUUUAUGGAGCACAAUGCUAUAAUCAGGUAUUUCUUAAAUUUUCUUAAAUUUAUUUUAAAUCAAUUAUUUUUCAUGUUUUUAUAUUUUUUUUUUAGCAAGGAUAUCAACAAUUUUCAAACCAACAACUGAAUUGUAACUAUAAGUCAUUUGUUCAUGGAGGUAAAAUAUUAACUUGGUUUAAAUAUUGAAUGAUAAUAUUAUACACAUUGACGGUGUUUAGUUAAAAGAGCGUUUAUCAAAUUUUACUUUUUUUCAGGAAGUAAAAAAUAUUUUGCAAAAAAAAAGUAUAACAGUUUAGUUUUUAAUGAUGUUUAUUAUUGAAAACAAUAAAAUUACUCCUUGUAUUUGUAAUCAACUUUGUAUAUAAAGUAUACAUGCAUUGAAUGUGGUAUACGCCCUUUUAACAAAUCUGUGUUGAUUUAAUUAUAUUUUUAAAAGUCGCCUGAAUAUCUUUUAGUUGACAUUACCAACUUAAUUUUCUGUACUUAAAUAGGUUCUUUUACCAAUUUAUGCU